rnacentral:rRNA from 1 species
GGCUCAGAUUGAACGCUGGCGGCAGGCCUAACACAUGCAAGUCGAACGGCAGCGGGGGGUAGCUUGCUACCCUGCCGGCGAGUGGCGGACGGGUGAGUAAUGCCUGGGGAGCUGCCCACGAGAGGGGGACAACCUGGGGAAACUCAGGCUAAUACCGCAUACGCUCGCGAGAGGAAAGCGGGGGACCUUCGGGCCUCGCGCUGGUGGAAGAGCCUACGUCCGAUUAGCUAGUUGGUAGGGUAAAAGCCUACCAAGGCGACGAUCGGUAGCUGGUCUGAGAGGAUGAUCAGCCACACUGGGACUGAGACACGGCCCAGACUCCUACGGGAGGCAGCAGUGGGGAAUAUUGGACAAUGGGCGCAAGCCUGAUCCAGCAAUGCCGCGUGGGUGAAGACGGCCUGCGGGUUGUAAAGCCCUUUAAGUGGGGAGGAACGGUUGGGUGUGAAUAGCGCCUGAUUAUGACGUUACCCACAGAAUAAGCACCGGCUAACUCCGUG